GCAGAUGAAAGAAUACAGAAAGAGAACUUCCAGACACUGUGGUGAUGAAUGGUCCCACCCUGUGGCUGUAUGCUGGUUUGGUGCACAGGCAGCUUGUCUUUGUUUCCCAGACCUGAAGGUGUCACAUGUGACCACUGGGUGGCAGCACGAAGCAGCUUAAUGUCCACAUUGGCUAUCACUGCCUGUUUACUGAAAGGGAUGACGUCACACACUGAAGGCUCCACAGCAACACGAAUAACAGCCAAAGACUCCCACAGCAAUGUGAUUACUGCCAAUUAUUAACUAAAUGUUAUGACGUAUUUCCAGAGGAGAAAGGCUGUGAUAAGGUUCACCAGAAGAGAAGAUUUUGGGGAAAUGUCAUCCUCUUGGUGUAAAACGAAACAAACUUCAAUGAAUAGGGGAUUCCUGUCACCUGUAGGAACCAAACGGGAUUUGGAAAAGCAGGAUGACCCGACAGUGCCAUGGUAACACUUGAACAGGUCACUGACAACAACAAUAUCUCAACAAAAUCUGAUGUUGUUGUUAGUGAGAAGCAGAAAAAAUAACGCUGAUGAACAUAAACAUGAUUUCUGUCGCCACAAGUUGGUUAAAUUUGAAAAAGAAAUGGAUCACUUUCAGUUUCUCUUCUUGUUCCUGAAAUAUUCUUAAGAAUGCACAACUAAAUUAUGCAUCACCUUCAUUUUCUGCAGCAUGUU